rnacentral:rRNA from 1 species
GACGAACGCUGGCGGCGUGCUUAACACAUGCAAGUCGAACGAGAGGACAAGAGAAGCUUGCUUCUUUUGGAAUCGAGUGGCAAACGGGUGAGUAACACGUAAACAACCUGCCUUCAGGAUGGGGACAACAGACGGAAACGACUGCUAAUACCGAAUACGCUUGGGAGACCGCAUGAUCUUCCAAGGAAAGGGUGGCCUCUACUUGUAAGCUAUCGCCUGAAGAGGGGUUUGCGUCUGAUUAGGCAGUUGGUGAGGUAACGGCCCACCAAACCUACGAUCAGUAGCCGGUCUGAGAGGAUGAACGGCCACACUGGAACUGAGACACGGUCCAGACUCCUACGGGAGGCAGCAGUGGGGAAUCUUCCGCAAUGGGCGAAAGCCUGACGGAGCAACGCCGCGUGAGUGAUGACGGCCUCGGUGUAAG